GUCAAAGACUUUAAUUCUAAGGUUUAGAAGGUCUGAGUAUUUAAUGUAUGCUGAACUUUACUUUUUAUGUAGAUUUCACUUUAAAACCACCAUGGCAUUUAGGCACAGCCUCGUUCUUGCAAUUUUAUUGUUAGGUAUGAUACGUGGAGACAGGGUAACACAGUCACAGCUGAGUGGCUAUGUUUAUGAAGGAAGUAAUGUCCUAAUUGCAUGCAAUAUCACAGCAGCUGAUUUAGACCAGGCUAAUGUAUUUUGGUAUCAGCAGAAUCCAAAUAGACCAAUUAAGCAUAUGGGACUUGAUGUGAGUAGAUACGUUCAAAAAGCUCAAAAUGGAAGAUUUGAAGCCCAUUUCAACUUAUCCAAGAGUUCUGUAGUUCUAAAUAUCACCAACACCCAAUUGUCUGACUCAUCGAUUUAUUACUGUGCACUGAGAGACACAGUAACAGAUGGCAUUGCUAACACCAUAUAAGAACUACAAUUUGUGCAUACCUGAAUAUUAUCUAAUAUUUCAUCCUUCCUCUGAACUAGGUGAUACAUUUAAAAGGAGCACAUUUAUCUUCUAUGCUUGAGAAUAUACUAGGUCAUUUAUUUUAAUUUUCUUAUUAACAUUUGACAGUUUUCUGCAGUAAUGUUUUCUAUACUGGCUGUUACUAAUGAACUAUCCUAAAAUAUUGUUAUGUAUAUAAGUUAAAUUACAAAUAACUGCCAUCAUAUCAGCACCUGUAAUGCAGAAUAUGUUUAUAGCUGACUGAAUAAUAUGCAAAGAUUAAGCUUUGUGACCGUACAGAACAUAAAGGAGAUCUGUGCUCCAAAAGUCUCAAAAUGACUAAGUUGGGAUAUGAAUUAAGUAACAUGAGAACUGAUGUUAUCUGAAUACCUUAUUCUUAUGUAAUAAUGACUCACAGUGACAGCACUUUUGAAUAUCGACCUUUGUUUUUCAGAGGUUUGGACAAGUGCAUUUUUACAGGAAUGAUGUAUAUUAUGCCACUAAUAUCAUACUUUACAAAAAGCAUUACACAAGUUUGAAUCUUGUCAAAGUAGACUUUUUUAGCAAGUAUUUGUCUCCUGGACAACAGAUUCUAAAAAUUAUCAUAUCUGUAUGAUAACAUACUUAUCACAGAUAGUCAACAACUGACUACUUCUACACCCUCUCCAUUAAA